GACGAACGCUGGCGGCGUGCCUAAUACAUGCAAGUCGAACGCUGAAGGAGGAGCUUGCUUCGCCGGAUGAGUUGCGAACGGGUGAGUAACGCGUAGGUAACCUGCCUGGUAGCGGGGGAUAACUAUUGGAAACGAUAGCUAAUACCGCAUAACAGUAGAUGUUGCAUGGCAUUUGCUGAAAAGGUUCAAUUGCAUCACUACGAGUUGGAGCUUCGUUGUUUUAGGUAGUUGGUGUGGUAACGGCUCACCAAGGCGACGAUACAUAGUCGAAAUGUGAGGGGGGGCGGCCGCACUGGGAGUGAGACCCGGCCCAGAGUGACUGGGGAGGGAGCAGGAGGGAAUCUGCGGCCAUGGGCGGAAGUCAGAGCGAGCAACGCCGCGUGAGUGAAGAAGGUCGUCGGAUCGGAAAGGUCUGUUGUAAGGGAAGAACGAGCGUGAGAGUGGAAAGUUCAGACUGUGACGGUAACUUACAAGAAAGCGACGGCUAACUACGUG
rnacentral:rRNA from 1 species